ACCUGGCUGGCUCAGUUGCUAUAGCAUGUGACUCUUGAUCUCGGGAUCGUGAGUUCGAGUCCCACAUUGGGUG
rnacentral:tRNA from 1 species